CUCCCCCGUUGCUGACCUCAGGUUCGAUAGCGCCAAUUAGGCGCCACCUCGCCAAAAGCCAACUUCGGUGAAGCGACGGGCGGUGUGUGCAAGGGAG
rnacentral:rRNA from 1 species